rnacentral:rRNA from 1 species
UACGUAGGUGGCAAGCGUUGUCCGGAAUUAUUGGGCGUAAAGCGCACGCAGGCGGUCUGCUAAGUUUGGAGUGACAGUUGGUGGCUUAACUGCCAAAGUGCUUCGAAAACUGACAGACUUGAGGGCUUCAGAGGGACACGGAAUUCCGGGUGGAGUGGUGAAAUGCGUAGAGAUCCGGAGGAACACCAAAGGCGAAGGCAGUGUCCUGGGGAGUACCUGACGCUCAGGUGCGAAAGCCAGGGGAGCGAACAGG